ACCAACUCCUGGAGUUCACUCAGACUCACAUCCAUCAAGUCAGUGAUGCCAUAUUAGCUAUCGAAAAAAAUCCAUUAUUCUCUUCCAUCAUCAUAGAGUCAUAGUUAGGAAGCAAUUACCAAGGAAAUGAAUUGAUCUCAGAGAUGAGCACUUUAAGGAAAAUAUGAAAGAAACUAUUAAUUUCUCAGCACCUUAUGAUAGUCCAGAAAGAUGGCUCUCCCUUUUUCGGUGGAAAAUUUAACAUAAUUUCCUGAUUUCAUCAUCUUUGAAAGUGCUUUACCAAGCACAGUUGCUCCUCUGUUGUCAAGACAGGCCCUGAGUUAUGGUCUGCACUAGUCUGCAUUAAUUAAAUUUAAGUAGGAUUUCUGAGCCUGGAUCAUCAUUAAGUCUGUGGCCCUGAUUUAAAUCUGCAGUAAAACAUUUCUCCA
ensembl:lncRNA